rnacentral:rRNA from 1 species
AUACGGAGGAUCCGAGCGUUAUCCGGAUUUAUUGGGUUUAAAGGGAGCGUAGGCGGACGCUUAAGUCAGUUGUGAAAGUUUGCGGCUCAACCGUAAAAUUGCAGUUGAUACUGGGUGUCUUGGGUACAGUAGAGGCAGGCGGAAUUCGUGGUGUAGCGGUGAAAUGCUUAGAUAUCACGAAGAACUCCGAUGGCGAAGGCAGCCUGCUGGACUGUAACUGACGCUGAUGCUCGAAGGUGUGGGUAUCAAACAGGAGUAGAUACCCUGGUAGUCCACACAGUAAACGAUGAAUACUCGCUGUUUGCGAUAUACAGUAAGCGGCCAAGCGAAAGCGUUAAGUAUUCCACCUGGGGAGUACGCCGGCAACGGUGAAACUCAAAUGAAUUGACGGGG